AAAGAUUCAUCCCUUUGAACUAUCUAAAAUCGCAACUUGCAUGUUUUCAAGUCAGCACGUGACAGAAACAGCUAAGAUUUUAGUUCAGUGUAUUCCGCUGUUGUAAGGUUCUUUCUUGACGGUCACUCACGAGAUACGUCAAAAGGAAAGUGAAAUGUUUUCUUAAGAAGAAAACAAGAAGAACAUGACCAAAAUAAAAGUGGGUGGAACUGUUGAAUAUUUAAGUUUUAGAUGUCAACAAACUAAUUGUUGCCGUCGAUACUCAAGCUAAAACUGCAGUGGAGGAAUAUCCGGAAAGUGAUUACUACUUGAAACAUCAUCAGAUUUUCGCAUCGACGACCUGUACAGGAAGAGACUGAAGUGAAUCAACGCAGAAUACGACAGGUGAGUUUAAGUAUCGUUAUUUUUAAAUCGAGAAUGGUUACUGUGUGUGCUUGUGUUUUUUUUCGUUUUCUUAGGUGCCAGGUUUCAAGUCAGCAGCGGAGAAGACACCGAUCGACUUCCCAGUAGUAUCAGCCAACUCAUAAGAGCUCGUCCCGAGUCUGGCUAUAACCGUACAAGGGAGAUAACAUGGCCCUAGUUUGGCAUUAUAUUUGUCGAUUGCUGAAGAUUGGCGAAAAUUCCUACGGAAGACUGACUGUCCAACUUUGUAUACGGGAGCAGCUGUUUUAUAUCUCAAAUUGUAAGUUUUAGUCAUUUUAUCAUAAUUUUUCUUUAAAUUUUUAGAAACAAUAUCGCGAAUAAAUUGGUUUGUUUUGACGUGCUGUGUCUGCCUAUCAGUGUCCGAAAUUUCCCCAACAUCCCUGUCGAUGCGAUGUUCAUCCCCAAAGUUUACGAUUUCGUGGCCAAAUAACGUUUUAUAAGGAGAAAAUCCUGUGGCACUAUGAGGUGUACUAUUCAGGGCGUGUUCUAUUUCUGAGAUGCGCG